ACGGAGAAGGCUAUGUUGGCCGGGCGACGGUUGUCCCGGUUUAAGCGUGUAGGCUGGUUUUCCAGGCAAAUCCGGAAAAUCAAGGCUGAGGCGUGAUGACGAGGCACUACGGUGCUGAAGCAACAAAUGCCCUGCUUCCAGGAAAAGCCUCUAAGCAUCAGGUAACAUCAAAUCGUACCCCAAACCGACACAGGUGGUCAGGUAGAGAAUACCAAGGCGCUUGAGAGAACUCGGGUGAAGGAACUAGGCAAAAUGGUGCCGUAACUUCGGGAGAAGGCACGCUGAUAUGUAGGUGAAGUCCCUCGCGGAUGGAGCUGAAAUCAGUCGAAGAUACCAGCUGGCUGCAACUGUUUAUUAAAAACACAGCACUGUGCAAACACGAAAGUGGACGUAUACGGUGUGACGCCUGCCCGGUGC
rnacentral:rRNA from 1 species